GGACGCAAAGCAUCAACGAAAUAUUAUGGAUGUCUUCGAGAAAGGGGGAGAGAAAAUCCUGACUGAAGGAAUGUCCACAUAAAUUAUUUUUAUUUAAAUGAAUUCAAAGGAUGGGAUGAGGGCAAGUCAGACGGAGUCGCAUGGAAAACAUGAAUAAUAUUAAUAUGCAUAAAGAAUUCUCACCGACGAGGAGAAGCUCCUCACUACAGCUCUUGGGACAAACAGGUUCAUUAAGAAACAGCUCAGAGCGACUACAGCAUUUUCCUAUUUCAAUUUUUUCCCUUAUUUUAAAUGAAGAGUCAGACAGAUGUGUUUUCUUUGCAUGGCAGCAUUGAGAUGGAUCCAGUCUGUGAAAUUUGCUGCCCAAAUAGCAUUUCUAAUGGAAACUGGAACUAAACAAGGGCACGGAUAUGGGAGGGAGGGGAGAAGAGAGAAUACACGAAGAAGAGUAUAUUCAGAGCCACUGCAUGGCAUUUUGAGUACAGGAGGUUUUCAGAAACCAUCUUUGCUUCAUUAGUCACCCCUGUGGGCUCCUGAUGUAGGGAGCUAUCAGGGUAUACCAAGAUGAGCACUGAGACAGGCCUUUCUAGGUCUGAGGCUGAGGAAAGCAGCGGCAACUUGGUGCCUGUCCCCCAGAGCUGUCUACAGUUCAGAAGCCAAAAGCACAGCUACUUCUAAUUUGGGGAUGCAGUAGAGUGCCUACUGAUCCAGGUGGACAAAACAAAUCUUUUUUGGAAACCAACGAAACAAAAAUAAUCUGGAGCUGUCUUGGUUGAAGCAGCGUGCGGGAUUCAGACACCUCCCACUCAGACCCCUGCCCUUCCUUCAAUAUUGGCAUCUAAAGAAUCUCUCCAGCGUUUGGAGGAAAUCAAGUUGGAAGUUAAGCAAGAAGCAACACAAAAAACUGAGUAACUACAAAGAAGUAAAAAGUAAAAACUCUGCAAGUUGAAUUGUUAGCUGGCAGGCUACCAUGUAAUAAUAGCUCAGAAUUGUCUUAUGUUAGUAAAGAUACAAACAUUUGAAUUCUAUUUAUGAACUUUGAAUUCUGCUUCUGUAAUUAGACUUUUUUUUUUUUUUUUUGGACAGAGUCUCACUCUGUCGCUUAGGCUGGACUGCAGCGGAACAAUCUCGGCUCACUGCAAACUCCGUCUCCCGGGUUCAAAUGAUUCUCCUGCCUCAGCCUCCCCAGUAGCUGUAGCUGGGAUUACAGGUGUGGAUCACCACGCGCAGCUGAAUUUUUUUUUUUAUUUUCAGUACAGACGGGGUUUCACCAUGUUGGCCAGGCUGGUCUCAAACUUCUGACCUCAAAUCAUCCACUUGCCUUCGCUUCCCAAUAUGCUGGGAUUACAGGCAUGAGCCAGUGUGCCCAGCCUGCAUGUUUUUUGUUUGUUUGUUUGUUUGUUUGUUUUUUGAGAUGGAGUAUUGCUCUGUUGCUCAGGCCGGAGUGCGCGAUCUCAGCUCACUGCAAACUCCGCCUUCCAGAUUCAAGCAAUUCUCCUGCCUCAGCUUCCCAAGUAGCUGGGACUGUUACAGGUACAUGCUGCCACGCCCAGCUAAUUUUUUUGUAUUUUAGUAGAGAAGGGGUUUCACCAUGUUGCCCAGGCUGGUCGGGAACUCCUGAGCUCAGGCAAUCCGCCUGCCUUGGC
rnacentral:lncRNA from 1 species